rnacentral:rRNA from 1 species
UACGUAGGGGGCAAGCGUUGUCCGGAUUUACUGGGCGUAAAGCGCGCGUAGGCGGACCUUCAAGUCCGGUCUGAAAGCCCCCGGCUCAACUGGGGAGGGUCACGCGAUACUGAUCGACUCGAAGGCAGGAGAGGGUAGUGGAAUUCCCGGUGUAGUGGUGAAAUGCGUAGAUAUCGGGAGGAACACCGGUGGCGAAGGCGGGUCUCUGGGCCGAUACUGACGCUGAGGAGCGAAAGCGUGGGGAGCAAACAGG